CGCUUCUUUCCUCCCGAGUGCUUGCACUCAAUUGGAAAGAGGAGUGGCGGACGGGUGAGUAACACGUGGGUAACCUACCCAUCAGAGGGGGAUAACACUUGGAAACAGGUGCUAAUACCGCAUAACAGUUUAUGCCGCAUGGCAUAAGAGUGAAAGGCGCUUUCGGGUGUCGCUGAUGGAUGGACCCGCGGUGCAUUAGCUAGUUGGUGAGGUAACGGCUCACCAAGGCCACGAUGCAUAGCCGACCUGAGAGG
rnacentral:rRNA from 1 species